CAGCUGUGUGGUUUUCUGGAGAGUCCAGACUGUAGACUGGAGACUCUGAGGUUGAAGAGCUGCAGUUUGUCAGAGAUCAGCUGUGAUUCUCUGGGACCAGCUCUGAAGUCCAACCCCUCCCAUUUGACACAUCUCUACCUGACUAACAACAAGCUGAAGGAUUCAGGAGUGAAGCAGCUGUGUGGUUUUCUGGAGAGUCCAGACUGUAGACUGGAGACUCUGAAUUUAUGGAGCUGCAGUUUGUCAAAGAUCAGCUGUGAUUGUCUGGGGCCAGCUCUGAAG